rnacentral:rRNA from 1 species
UCUGCAGGUGGUUUCUUAAGUCUACUGUUAAAUCUUGAGGCUCAACCUCAAAUCUGCAGUAGAAACUAGGAGACUUGAGUAUGGUAGGGGUAAAGGGAAUUUCCAGUGGGGCGGUGAAAUGCGUAGAUAUUGGAAAGAACACCAACAGCGAAGGCACUUUACUGGGCCAGUACUGACACUCAGAGACGAAAGCUAGGGGAGCAAACA